rfam:Vigna angularis cultivar Jingnong 6 scaffold14_75, whole genome shotgun sequence.
GCGCCCAUGGCCUAAUGGAUAAGGCGUUUGACUUCUAAUCAAACGAUUGUGGGUUCGAGUCCCACUGGGCGUG